rnacentral:rRNA from 1 species
UACGGGGGGGGGCAAGCGUUGUUCGGAAUUACUGGGCGUAAAGCGUGCGCAGGCGGCUUUGCAAGACAGAUGUGAAAUCCCCGGGCUUAACCUGGGAACUGCAUUUGUGACUGCAUGGCUGGAGUGCGGCAGAGGGGGAUGGAAUUCCGCGUGUAGCAGUGAAAUGCGUAGAUAUGCGGAGGAACACCGAUGGCGAAGGCAAUCCCCUGGGCCUGCACUGACGCUCAUGCACGAAAGCGUGGGGAGCAAACAGG